UGCUUUUUAGGUGUAAGUUCAGUGAACUU
rnacentral:piRNA from 1 species